AGAUCCUCGAGGGAGAGAAGGUGUACAAAAUGAUUGUUGCUAUUGGAAACUGUAAUUUCCUGACAUUUUAACUUGGAUCAGAGUUGGCAGGUUGGAAAUUUUAUGACAUUCAAACUUAGGAUCAGGUAUCUCCCAAAGUGAUCCAAUGUUUAUCACUAUUUAAGGCCAAUAAAGCCAGGAUACAUUGCAUAUCCAGUCUGAUGACGGAUCAAUUUGUU
rnacentral:misc_RNA from 1 species